ensembl:lncRNA
GUCAGAACACCAGCAUUAAUUUUGAUAUUCAGCUUUCUAAAUUUAGAUCUUUGAAGGCUUGAGAAAUCUUAGGAGGGGGAAUGGAAAGCCAAACCAAAUUGUUUUAGUUUCCAUGUCUGUCAAAUGAAAACGGUGAUCUCAGAACCAUAAAUAAUCUUUUGAUUUUUAUGCUUAUGGAAUCAAGAAGAAAGUCAGGUAAUGUAAACAAGUGGAUAAUCUGAAAAUUGCUUAUUUGAAAUUAGGAAGCAAUCAUAGAUGUAUACUUUUACACGUAUCCUUUCUACACAAACACAUAUCUAGACUGGUGGUUGGCCAAACAACUGGCAUCACAGUCUAGCCAGUCUAGAUGUUGCGUGAAGGUAUUUAAAUCAGUAGAUUUUGAAUAAAAGUGGAUUACCCACCAUAACGGGUGGGUCUCAUCCAGUCAAUUGAAGACUUAAAGAGAAAAGAUUGACAUCCCUGGAAGAGAGAGGGGUUCUGUUUCAGACUGCCUUGAUACUCAAGACUACAAUAUGGACUCCCAUUGGAAUUUCUAGCUUGCUGACCUGCUCUGCAGACUUUACACUUGCUGGGCCCACAGUCAUGUGAUCCAAUUCCUUAAAAUAAAUCUGUAUCUGUCUGGAGUGGGUUGCCAUUUCUUCCUUCAGGGGAUCUUCCCAAUCCCAGGAUUGAACCUGCAUCUCUUAUGUCUCCUGACUAGCAGGUGGAUUCUUCACCAACUGCACCACCUGGGAAGCCCGUGUGUUUUUAUAUACAUACACAGAUCCAGCACACACCAUAUUAGUUCUGUUUCUCUGGAGAACCCUAAUAUACUUGAGUGUUGGUUAGAAAUGCAAAUUCUCAGGUCCCACCCCAGACCUGCUGAAUCAGAAACAGGAGGGUUAGGACUCAGCAGUCUUUGUCUACAAACCAUCCAGCUGAUGCUGAUGACACCCUACCCCCAAAACUUGAGCACCCCUACAGAAAAAUGGAAGCAGCCUCCUUUAACAGUUGAAAAAAUUGAGAUUCAGAAAGGUUAAGUAAUGUACCCAAAGCUAUCUAGGCCUGGGGUAGCCAAGAUUUAUUCUUGAUCUUUCAAAAGUGUAAAAUAAUAUUCAUGGAUAGCUUAGCAGUCUCUGAAUCGGCUUUUAAAGUGCCUUUUGGGGAUGUUUAUUUUCUUGAAAAAGCAUGCAGGGAACCAACUGUGUGUAUAUAGUAUGCGCCAGCAGUGGUUCCAAGUCUUUGUACCCUCACAUAUCACUUUUAUUACUUCAUGUGAUGAAAGAUUUUGUUGUUUAAAGAAACUGUAUCUUAAAGUAAUAGUUAUUUUGCCAUAACGGCUGUGCAGAGCCCCUGAUUUGGCAUGAGAUCACCAGUACUGCUGCCCUGAGGUGAUGUAUCCCAGGCAAAAGCAGGGAUGUUUCAUGUUUUAAUCAGCUUGUAAACCUAAAUGUGGAUUUUCCAUUUCCAUUAAGCAUUUUCAUAUUGGAAGCAGCCAAGGGCUCUCAUUACUAUAUUACCGUUUUCCAAAGCAUCUGGAGACUCCUAGUUGGAUGUAUUUGCAGUAGAUUCAGUUCCUGAGUGUUGGCUUGCAGCAACGAGGAUGUCUUAGCAGGGUAUAAAAGAUAAACACCCAAAUCUUAGAGUACAUCACUUUUGCUUUCACCAAAAUCGAUGUACUUGUCUGGGUAUAGCUUUCCUCUAAUCAAUAGUUCAGAGACCCAUAGUCUUGUUUUUUUUUUUUUUUUUUUGAGGCUUAACCUCAAAAGUGAU